rnacentral:rRNA from 1 species
AUACGCAGGUGACAAGCGUUAUCCGGAUUUACUGGGCGUAAAGGGCGUGUAGGCGGUCUUGCAAGUCAGAAGUGAAAUUCCUGAGCUCAACUCGGGCGCUGCUUCUGAAACUGCAGGACUUGAGUGCUGGAGGGGAUAGCGGAAUUCCUAGUGGAGCGGUAAAAUGCGCAGAUAUUAGGAAGAACACCGGUGGCGAAGGCGGCUAUCUGGACAGUAACUGACGCUGAGGCGCGAAAGCGUGGGGAGCAAACAGGAUUAGAUACCCUGGUAGUCCACGCUGUAAACGAUGAAUACUAGGUGUGGGGGGACUGACCCCCUCCGUGCCGCAGUUAACACAAUAAGUAUUCCACCUGGGGAGUACGAUCGCAAGAUUGAAACUCAAAUGAAUUGACGGGG